GGCCUGGUAGCCAAGUGGUAAGGCGAGGGUCUGCAAAACCCUUAUUCGCGAGUUCGAACCUCGCCCAGGCCU
rnacentral:tRNA from 1 species